rnacentral:rRNA from 1 species
GACGAACGCUGGCGGCGCGCUUAACACAUGCAAGUCGAGCGAAGCGGCGGACGGGUGAGUAACUCGUGCGUAACCUUCCUUAGACCUUGGGAUAGCCUCGGGAAACCGGGAUUAAUACCAAAUGGUCUAAGAUGGACUCGCGUCCCAUUAGCUAGUUGGUGGGUAACGGCCCACCAAGGCGACGAUGGGUAGCCGGCCUGAGAGGGGGAACGGCCACAUUGGAACUGAGAAACGGUCCAAACUCUACGGGAGGCAGAAGUGGGGAAUAUUGCACAAUGGAGGGAACUCUGAUGCAGCGAAGCCGCGUGAACGAAGAAGGCUUUAGAGUCGUAAAGUUCUUUUAUAUGGGAAGCGGUACCAUAAGAAAAAGCCCCGGCUAACUACGUGCCAGCAGCCGCGGUAAUUC